CACAUCGUUGGAGUUCAGAGAGGAUGAGCGCGGAGGCACCUCAACAGCACGUGUGUUGAACUCAUUUGUUCCAUGGAUGUGAAACAGUCUUACUGAUGGUUGAGAAUGGGAGGAGCCUUCUCUGGAACUUCCUUCCUGUUAGUCAAUCACAACCAGUGAAGAGGAUCAACUUUUACAGUCUCUUUGGCUAAUGGAUCACUUUAAUGAGCAUCUUCAAAGUUAAAGGUCUUUUUCUGCAAUGGAAAGAGCGAGAGUAACUCAGGAGGAACUCACCUGCCACCGGAGGAAUCGAGAAGGAAGCAGCCAGACUGUCUCUAGGUGAACUUCAGCCUCCAGAAUGUGGCCGCUCCCCUCUCCUUCCUCAAACUCAUUAACCAGCCUCUGCCGCCUGGGGAGAAAGCAGUGAGCCGCCAGUGCUUCAGUUCUAACUCAACCCAUUCUC